rnacentral:rRNA from 1 species
AGCGAACGCUGGCGGCAGGCCUAACACAUGCAAGUCGAACGGAUCCUUCGGGAUUAGUGGCGGACGGGUGAGUAACACGUGGGAACGUGCCCUUUGGUUCGGAACAACUCAGGGAAACUUGAGCUAAUACCGGAUGUGCCCUUCGGGGGAAAGAUUUAUCGCCAUUGGUACGGCCCGCGUCUGAUUAGCUAGUUGGUGAGGUAAAGGCUCACCAAGGCGACGAUCAGUAGCUGGUCUGAGAGGAUGAUCAGCCACAUUGGGACUGAGACACGGCCCAAACUCCUACGGGAGGCAGCAGUGGGGAAUCUUGCGCAAUGGGCGAAAGCCUGACGCAGCCAUGCCGCGUGAAUGAUGAAGGUCUUAGGAUUGUAAAAUUCUUUCACCGGGGACGAUAAUGACGGUACCCGGAGAAGAAGCCCCGGCUAACUUCGUGCCAGCCGCCGCAGUAAGAC